UACGUAGGGGGCAAGCGUUACCCGGAUUUACUGGGCGUAAAGCGCGUGUAGGCGGCUGGCCAAGUGUGGUGUGAAAUCCCCCGGCUCAACCGGGGAACUGCAUUGCAAACUGGUCUGGCUAGAGUGCAGGAGAGGGAAGUGGAAUUCCCGGUGUAGCGGUGAAAUGCGUAGAUAUCUGGAGGAACACCGGUGGCGAAGGCGGCAUCCUGGACCGGCACUGACGCUGAGGAGCGAAAGCCAGGGGAGCAAACGGG
rnacentral:rRNA from 1 species